GAGAGAGAGAGAGAGAGAGAGAGAGAGAGAGAGAGAGAGAGAGAGAGAGAGAGAGAGAGAGAGAGAGAGAGAGAGAGAGAGAGAAUUCAUUUCAAUCGUACUCGAAAGAUGUUUGCAGGAAGAAACUGGAAAAAGAAAGGCAGAAUGACUAUGAGACAAAAAGAAAAAAAAAGAAAAGGAAAAGGAAAAGAAGUGAGGAAGAGAAGCAACAUAGAAGAAAGACAAAGAAACCCAAAUGACACGAGAAUGAGGAAGGAACACGGAGGCAGGAAUGGUGAAGCCUCUAUUGGAAGUGAAGGAAGAGGAACUUAUGAAAACAAAUACGAGAGAGAGAGAGAGAGAGAGAGAGAGAGAGCUCAUUGUAUUCCGAUAAGACUUCUAUUCGUGAAGGUUCUAUAUUCACGAGUGACGUCCGUGUUUUCAAACGUCUCUGUGUCAUGUCUCGACUCGUUUUACAAAUUUGUAGUGGAUGUUAUUUGGAGUUUUCAAGGACGGUGUCAUGAUUCUGCACGAUUUCACACGCUGUGGUGGAGCUACUAGUGUAUUUUCAGACUCACGAUUUCAAUGAUAGUUUAACACCUUGAGUACCAUGACGCGUUACCAUAUUUAUUCUGCUGACUAUUUGAUGGUUUUGUUCAGCUUCAAAAACUUAUGUGGGGAUGAAAAUUGUGGAGACUUUGGCCAUUAAUCUUCUGACCUCCAUAGACUUCCUAAUGUCAAUAAAAUGGUCUAAUCGUACACAUAUCUCAAAUGUGUCCCAGUUUACAGGUUAACAUAGAUUCUGCAUCAUUAAUGAGAUAAAAUAGCAAUGAAAACUCAACUUGUCUUUGAGAAUAGCCCUUAUUGGAGCCCACAGCGUUUCAGAAUACGAGCUUCAACAAGUUAUAAAUUUGGUAAACCUCAUUAUUUCCACUCACAACUAGCAAGAAGCACUCACCCACAAGUGUCUCAAUACAGCGCUAUGUUUCUCUUAUACUCGAAAGCUUCUUAAACGAUUGUGUGAUUACGGUCUUCAGUUCACUCAAACAACGAAGAUGUAUGGGACUGCUACGUAUUGGCUCCUUGCAGCUUCCCUUAUGUUCGUGUGUUAUCAACCUAAGCAUAGUUCGUAAAAAAUGGCAGGCUAGAUAAAACUAAAUCAUCAGUGGACAUGAUGGUGACUUAAGCAGAAGAACAAGACGCAGAGGACAGCGGAAGGUUAGGACGAGUGAUCCGUUGUGGCGACCCCUAACGGAGCAGCCCGAAGAGGAAAGAAUGAUGCCAUGUUUGUGCACUGAUGGAAAACAAACAGAUCAUAAAGCAACAUUUCCUUUUACCUUUCUGAAGACUGGCGGUGACUGUUCAUCCCAUGGUCUUGGUUUUAAUCUUGUUUUCAGUCAGAAUGCACAUAACAAGGUGUUCUUGCCGGGUAUCUGCAAAAAGGAGAGAAAACAUAUAUUUAUUAAUUGGCUGAUUUACUCAUUUUUUUACAUUGUUUUAUUUAUAUGCCAAACAGAUUGACUGAGUGUUAAAAAAUCCAACUUGCUGCUUUCUGAAAGGGGAAAAAAUGGGCCUAUUUGAUUCCACAGAUCUGUUGAUACUCUUGUUUUGUUACAGUUCAAGUCGUAGGAAGGAGGAAAACGGAAGCAGGUAGACAACUCACAUAUUUUUCUCAAUCCCAUACAAAUCCUGAAAAGAUUACUACUACCUUCUCAUGACGGCCGUGUACCUCAUUAACAACAGAUAGCAGUGCCAUUCUUUAACUCGUAAGAUUUGCUACAUAUGGGAGAUACAAACAAUUAUGUAUAUUAUGCCAGUCACAACCAUAUUAUAUCCAGUCUUUUAGUGCAGGAGUCAGUCAGUACCUCCACUCUUUCUUCCAUCCCCUUCAUUGGUGAGGUCUGGAACUCUGGAGCUUUUAAAAGAACUCUACAGUAUAAAGUCUAGCAGGACAGUGCCAUUAUCAAGGAAAUAAUAGUAUUUAUUUUAAUGGAACAAAGAAUGUCCUUUAUAAAGAAACAAAGAGUGCCCAUCACGACGGAACAGUGCCACUAAAGGAAGAGUUACCUUAACAGAACAGCAGUGCCUAACAAGCAGUGCAAUCAUAAAUCAACAAAGUGUCCAUUAUAAAAGGAACAGUGCUAUUAUCAAAGAACACACGGUAUCAUAAAGAAAUAAAGUGUCAUUACAAAACAUAUACUGUCAUUAUAAAGAAAUAAAUAGUGCCAUUAUAAAGGAAAUAAACAGUGCCAUUAUAAAGGAAAUAAACAGUGCC